rnacentral:rRNA from 1 species
AAAGGGUCCGUAGGCGGUUUGAUAAGUCAGUGGUGAAAGCCCAUCGCUCAACGAUGGAACGGCCAUUGAUACUGUCAGACUUGAAUUACUAGGAAGUAACUAGAAUAUGUAGUGUAGCGGUGAAAUGCUUAGAUAUUACAUGGAAUACCAAUUGCGAAGGCAGGUUACUACUAGUGGAUUGACGCUGAUGGACGAAAGCGUGGGGAGCGAACAGGAUUAGAUACCCCAGU